rnacentral:rRNA from 1 species
UGGGGAAUAUUGCGCAAUGGGCGAAAGCCUGACGCAGCGACGCCGCGUGGGGGAUGAAGGCCUUCGGGUUGUAAACCCCUUUCAGCAGGGACGAAGCGAGAGUGACGGUACCUGCAGAAGAAGCGCCGGCUAACUACGUGCCAGCAGCCGCGGUAACACGUAGGGCGCAAGCGUUGUCCGGAAUUAUUGGGCGUAAAGAGCUCGUAGGCGGUCUGUUGCGUCCGCUGUGAAAUCUCGGGGCUUAACCCCGAGCCUGCAGUGGAUACGGGCAGACGAGAGGUAGGUAGGGGAGAAUGGAAUUCCCGGUGUAGCGGUGAAAUGCGCAGAUAUCGGGAGGAACACCGGUGGCGAAGGCGGUUCUCUGGGCCUUACCUGACGCCGAGGAGCGAAAGCGUGGGGAGCAAACAGGAUUAGAUACCCUGGUAGUCCACGCCGUAAACGUUGGGCGCUAGGUGUGGGAUCCUUCCACGGAUUCCGUGCCGCAGCUAACGCAUUAAGCGCCCCGCCUGGGGAGUACGGCCGCAAGGC